rnacentral:rRNA from 1 species
ACAUGGUAGUCAAUAAAGAGCUGUCUCAAAAGACUAAAGCCUAGUGCAUGGGUCCUAAGUAUUAAGGCAAAUUUAUACAGCGGAAACUGCGAAUGGCUCAUUAUAUAAGUUAUCGUUUAUUUGAUAGUACCUUACUACUUGGAUAAUCGUGGUAAUUCUAGAGCUAAUACAUGCUAAAAAUCCCGACUUCGGAAGGGAUGUAUUUAUUAGAUUAAAAACCAAUGCCCCUCGGGGCUCUCUGGUGAUUCAUAAUAACUUCUCGAAUCGCACGGCCCUUGCGCCGGCGAUGGUUCAUUCAAAUUUCUUCCCUAUCAACUUUCGAUGUUUGGGUAGUGGCCAAACAUGGUUGCAACGGGUAACGGAGGGUUAGGGCUCGACCCCGGAGAAGGAGCCUGAGAAACGGCUACUACAUCCAAGGAAGGCAGCAGGCGCGCAAAUUACCCAAUCCCGAUUCGGGGAGGUAGUGACAAUAAAUACUGAUACAGGGCUCUUUCGGGUCUUGUAAUUGGAAUGAGUACAAUUUAAAUCCCUUAACGAGGAACAAUUGGAGGGCAAGUCUGGUGCCAGCAGCCGCGGUAAUUCCAGCUCCAAUAGCGUAUAUUAAAGUUGUUGUGGUUAAAAAGCUCGUAGUUGAACCUUGGGCCUGGCUGGCCGGUCCGCCUCACCGCGUGUCACUGGUCCGGCCGGGUCUUUCCCUCUGUGGAACCACAUGCCCUUCACUGGGCGUGGCGGGGAAACAGGACUUUUACUUUGAAAAAAUUAGAGUGCUCCAGGCAGGCCUAUGCUCGAAUACAUUAGCAUGGAAUAAUGAAAUAGGACGUGCGGUUCUAUUUUGUUGGUUUCUAGGACCGCCGUAAUGAUUAAUAGGGACAGUCGGGGGCAUCAGUAUUCAAUUGUCAGAGGUGAAAUUCUUGGAUUUAUUGAAGACUAACUACUGCGAAAGCAUUUGCCAAGGAUGUUUUCAUUAAUCAGGAACGAAAGUUAGGGGAUCGAAGACGAUCAGAUACCGUCGUAGUCUUAACCAUAAACUAUGCCGACUAGGGAUCGGACGAUGUUAUUUAGUUGACUCGUUCGGCACCUUACGAGAAAUCAAAGUGCUUGGGGCUCCCCAGGGGGAGUAUGGUCGGCAAGGCUGAAACUAAGAAGAAUUUGGACGGGAAGGG